CCUACGGGAGGCUGCAGUGAGGAAUAUUGGUCAAUGGGCGGGAGCCUGAACCAGCCAAGCCGCGUGAGGGAAGAAGGUACAGCGUAUCGUAAACCUCUUUUGUCAGGGAACAAAGGCGGGGACUAGUCCCCGGCUGAGGGUACCUGAAGAAAAAGCAUCGGCUAACUCCGUGCCAGCAGCCGCGGUAAUACGGAGGAUGCGAGUGUUAUCCGGAUUUAUUGGGUUUAAAGGGUGCGAAGGCGGCGUGUUAAGUCAGCGGUAAAAGCCCGGGGCUCAACCCCGGCGAGCCUUUGAAACUGGCGGGAUGGAGUGGGAAUGAGGUAGGCGGAAUGCGCGGUGUAGCGGUGAAAUGCUUAGAGAUCGCGCAGAACCCCGAUUGCGAAGGCAGCGUACCGGCUCCACACUGACGCUGAGGCACGAAAGCGUGGGUAUCGAACAGGAUUAGAUACCCGUGUAGUC
rnacentral:rRNA from 1 species